CAGACCAGAAAACGGAAACCUAAAAAUGUCAAUAAAAGCAAAUCCUCAGCAAACAGUUCUACAACUUCCACCACCAACUCUCCUUCCUCACUUACAAACUCAGAGAGCACCGUCACUUUAAAAACCGAACCAGCCAUCACACCACAAUAUCCGGGACAAGCAAUAGUGUCAACUUCCCAGAGCCCGGGACAUUCUGAAAACGGGCUGGAUGAGCCUCAUCCCCAGUUCAAGUAUGAGCCAGAAGACUAUACCUUCCCAUCUGCUAUGUCUCAACCAUCAGGUCUAAGCGUUGGCCCCCGUCAAGACUCAUGGUACCCCUUGGCCCUAGCCUAAGCAGCCAGCCUUCCGUUCCAAAAACAAGAAGGAAUCCAUCCUAUCAGGAUAUGACUGGACCAGCAGACAAGAUUUCCGGACUGUAAUCCUUUGGAUCUGCCAGGUUUCUAUUCCUUGGGAGAUACCUUCCUUCCUUCCUUCUCUACGAAGGCCACCCCCCUGCCGUCUUUUGCCGCUGACUCCUUUUUUUUUUUUGUGGCCCUUUGAAUCUCUUGAAAAGUUGAUAUUCUUUCACCAAUCAAAAAUAAAACAGAAAAGGGAUUUGGGAGUUCAGGCACAAGUCUCUCUUUCUUUCUCCCGAGAUCCAUCCGAAAGCGAUAACAAUCGGUGUUGUCUUCACGGUGAUUCUUCUCUUUCCUUCCCCUCUUCUUCUUCUUCUUCUUUUUUUUUUAAAUGACUCCCUUGUGUGCAAUUUUAUUCUUAAUAAAGAGGAUGGAAACAUCUGA